GACAGAGGGGCAAGCGUUGCUCGGAAUUACUGGGCGUAAAGGGCGCGUAGGCGGAAUGGCAAGUCGGUCGUGAAAUCCUUCGGCUCAACCGAAGAACGUCGAUCGAUACUGCCAUUCUUGAGGGAUGCAGAGGAGACUGGAAUUCCCGGUGUAGCGGUGAAAUGUGUAGAGAUCGGGAGGAACACCGGUGGCGAAGGCGGGUCUCUGGGCAUCUCCUGACG
rnacentral:rRNA from 1 species